rnacentral:rRNA from 1 species
GCGACCUGUGGUAUAACUGUAGAAAAUCUAGAGCUAAUACAUGCACGAGUACAGCGCCGAUCCCCGGAGAGGCGCGCGUUUAUUAGACCAAGACCGGCGCCGGGGCCCCGUGUCCCGGCCACUCCGUGUUGACUCUGGAUAACAUUGCCGAUCGCCCGGCCUCGCUGCCGGCGACGUAUCUUUCAAAUGUCUGACCUAUCAGCUGGUUGGCCGUAGAGGUGACGGCCACGGGAUUGACGGGUAACGGGGAAUCAGGGUUUGAUUCCGGAGAGGGAGCCUGAGAAACGGCUACCACUUCUAAGGAAGGCAGCAGGCGCGCAAAUUACCCACUCUCGACUCGAGGAGGUAGUGAAGAGAAAUAACGUGACGCUAACCCCAAGAGGCUGCGUUGGGGAAUGAGACCCGUUUAAAGCCUUGUCUGAUGACCCAGUAGAGGGCAAGUCUGGUGCCAGCAGCCCUGGGGCCCAGGCGGGUGAAUCCCCUUGGAUGGGCGUGCGCCCGUUGGCCCACAUUACUUUGAAAAAAUUAGGGUGUUUCAGGCAGGCUGAAUACGGGCUUGGAUAGUCUAACAUGGAAUAACAGUUAAUUGAACUCCGGUUCCCUUCUCUGCUGGUCUACGGAACUUGCGAGCCAUGGCUAAGAGGGACAGACGGGGGCGGAAGUACUACGGCGUGAGAGGUGAAAUUCCAGGACCGCCGUAAGACUAACGAACGCGAAAGCAUUCGCCCAGAAUGUUUUCAUUAGUCAAGAACGAAAGUUGGUGUAGCGAAGAGGAUCAGAUACCCUCCUAGUACUGACCGUAAACGAUGCCAACAGGAGGCCGGCGGAAGUAACUUGCAUUGUGGGACUUGGCACCGUCGGAACCCCGCGGGAAACCCGAGUGUCUGGGUUCUGGGGGUAGUAUGGUUGCAAAGCUGAAACUUAAAGGUAUUGACGGAAGGGCACCACAAGGAGUGGAGCUUGCGGCUUAAUUUGACUCAACGCGGGGCAACUCACCCGGUCCGGACACCGCGGGGAUUGACAGAUUGAUAGCUCUUUCUUGAUUCGGUGGGUGGUGGUGCAUGGCCGUUCUUAGUACGUGGUGCAAACUGUCAGGUUAAAUCCGCUAACGUACGCGACUCUAGCCUAUUUACUAGAGCUGGACGAUGAUAAUAAGUCGCCGAUGCGAGGAACUUCUUAGGGGGAUCCAUUGCGUGGGAGAAGCGGAUGAAAUAGAGCAAUAACAGGUCUGUGAUGCCCUUAGAUGUUCGGGGCCGCACGCGCGCUACACUGAAAAAGAAAGAGGGUGUCCGAGUAUGAGCCGGGCGCGCGAGCCGCCUUAGAGAAAUCUUAGAAACCUUAUCGUGCUAGGGAUUAGGGUUUGGAACUGUUGCCUAUCAACGAGGAAUUCCAAGUAAGUGCGAGUGACUAGCUUGCGUUGAUCAAGUCCCUGACCUUUGUACACACCGCC